GACAGAGGUGCCGAGCGUUAGGCGGAAUCACUGGGCUUAAAGCGUGUGUAGGCGGACCGUUAAGUACCUUGUGAAAUCCUGCGGCUCAACCGCAGAACGGCUGGGUAUACUGGCGGUCUUGGGCCACCUAGGGGCAGAUGGAACAGACGGUGGAGCGGUGAAAUGCGUAGAUAUCGUCUGGAACGCCGAUGGUGAAAACAGUCUGCUGGGGGUGUGCCGACGCUGAGACACGAAAGCCAGGGGAGCAAACGGG
rnacentral:rRNA from 1 species